rnacentral:rRNA from 1 species
UACGGAGUGUGCGAGCGUUACUCGGAAUCACUGGGCUUAAAGCGCGCGUAGGCGGGCUGUCAAGUCGGUUGUGAAAUCCCUCAGCUCAACUGAGGAACUGCAUCCGAUACUGUCGGUCUUGAGGACGAGAGGGGAGAGUGGAACUUCUGGUGGAGCGGUGAAAUGCGUAGAUAUCAGAAGGAACGCCGGUGGCGAAAGCGACUCUCUGGCUCGUAACUGACGCUGAGGCGCGAAAGCGUGGGGAGCAAACAGG